AAGUCGUAACAAGGUAACCGUAGGUGAACCUGCGGUUGGAUCAUUACUGAUUUCUGAAUUGCUUCUAGUUUGAUGCUCCUAGUUGAGCUCACUAGAUUCAAUUCUUUAACACUAUGUGCACUAGAAUGUUUUUUGGGUGAUUUUGGAGUAAUCCUGUCGCCCAGCAUUUUUUUAAACUAUUGUAUUUUUUGACUGAUUUGUUUAUAUACGUAAACGAUAACAA
rnacentral:misc_RNA from 1 species